rnacentral:rRNA from 1 species
UUGGAGGGCAAGUCUGGUGCCAGCAGCCGCGGUAAUUCCAGCUCCAAUAGCGUAUAUUAAAGUUGUUGCAGUUAAUAAGCUCGUAGUUGAACUUCGGGGUUCACCCAUUGGUCAGGCUUAAUUGUCUGUACUGGUGAGAUGAGUCUCUACCUUCUGAGGAACUUUCAUGCCAUUUAUUUGGUGUGGUUGGAAAUCAGGACUGUUACUUUGAAAAAAUUAGAGUGUUUAAAGCAGGCUAACGUCUGAAUACAUUAGCAUGGAAUAAUGAAAUAGGACGGAUUGAUUCUAUUUCGUUGGUUUCUAGGGUCACCGUAAUGAUUAAUAGGGAUAGUUGGGGGCAUUAGUAUUCAAUUGUCAGAGGUGAAAUUCUUGGAUUUAUUGAAGACUAACUACUGCGAAAGCAUUUGCCAAGGAUGUUUUCAUUAAUCAAGAACGAAAGUUAGGGGAUCGAAGACGAUCAGAUACCGUCGUAGUCUUAACCAUAAACUAUGCCGACUAGGGAUCGGACGCAGUUAAUUUUAUAAUGACGUGUUCGGCACCUUACGGGAAACCAAAG